rnacentral:rRNA from 1 species
GUGGGGAAUAUUGGACAAUGGGCGAAAGCCUGAUCCAGCCAUGCCGCGUGAGUGAUGAAGGCCCUAGGGUUGUAAAGCUCUUUCACCGGUGAAGAUAAUGACGGUAACCGGAGAAGAAGCCCCGGCUAACUUCGUGCCAGCAGCCGCGGUAAUACGAAGGGGGCUAGCGUUGUUCGGAAUUACUGGGCGUAAAGCGCACGUAGGCGGAUUGUUAAGUGAGGGGUGAAAUCCCAGGGCUCAACCCUGGAACUGCCUUUCAUACUGGCAAUCUCGAGUCCGAGAGAGGUGAGUGGAAUUCCGAGUGUAGAGGUGAAAUUCGUAGAUAUUCGGAGGAACACCAGUGGCGAAGGCGGCUCACUGGCUCGGUACUGACGCUGAGGUGCGAAAGCGUGGGGAGCAAACAGGAUUAGAAACCCGGGUAGUCC